rnacentral:rRNA from 1 species
AGUGAACGCUGGCGGCGUGCUUAACACAUGCAAGUCGAACGAGAACGGAUUAUAGCUUGCUAUAAUUGUCAGCUAAGUGGCGCACGGGUGAGUAAUGUAUAGGUAAUAUGCCUCUUACUAAGGGAUAACAAAUGGAAACGCUUGCUAAUACCUUAUACUCCUUUUAAACAGAAGUUUAAAAGGGAAAGAUUUAUUGGUAAGAGAUUAGCCUGUAUUGUAUCAGUUAGUUGGUGGGGUAAUGGCUUACCAAUACUAUGACACAUAACUGGUUUGAGAGGAUGACCAGUCACACUGGAAAUGAGACACGGUCCAGACUCCUACGGGAGGCAGCAGUGGGGAAUAUUGCACAAUGGACGAAAGUCUGAUGCAGCAACGCCGCGUGGAGGAUGACACAUUUCGGUGCGUAAACUCCUUUUAUAUGAGAAGAUAAUGACGGUAUUAUAUGAAUAAGCACCGGCUAACUCCGUGCCAGCAGCCGCGGUAA